rnacentral:rRNA from 1 species
UACGUAGGUGGCAAGCGUUAUCCGGAUUUAUUGGGCGUAAAGGGAACGCAGGCGGUCUUUUAAGUCUGAUGUGAAAGCCUUCGGCUUAACCGGAGUAGUACAUUGGAAACUGGGAGACCUGAGUGCAGAAGAGGAGAGUGGAACUCCAUGUGUAGCGGUGAAAUGCGUAGAUAUAUGGAAGAACACCAGUGGCGAAAGCGGCUCUCUGGUCUGUAACUGACGCUGUGGUUCGAAAGCGUGGGUAGCAAACAGG